rnacentral:misc_RNA from 1 species
CACCCCUCAAGCGUAGCUUGGUAUUGGGCCCUCGCCCCCUGGGCGUCCCCGAAAGUCAUGGGCGGUCCGGAGUGACUUUAAGCGUAGUAAAUUACCUCCCGCUUUGAAAGCUCGCCCCGCGGCCGGCCCGAAAACCCCAUAAUCUAUCAAC